rnacentral:rRNA from 1 species
UACGUAGGGUGCAAGCGUUGUCCGGAAUUAUUGGGCGUAAAGAGCUCGUAGGCGGUUUGUUGCGUCGGCUGUGAAAUCCCGAGGCUCAACCUCGGGUCUGCAGUCGAUACGAGCAAACUAGAGUGUUGCAGGGGAGACUGGAAUUCCGUGGUGAUAGCGGUGAAAUGCGCAGAUAUCAGGAGGAACACCGGUGGCGAAGGCGGGUCUCUGGG